rnacentral:rRNA from 1 species
CUUUGUGUUUUAUACAUUUAAAACAGAUAUAUAUUUGGCUUAUGGAUUUAUUUUUCAUGUGUUACUAUUGUUAAUUUUCUUUGGAUUAAUUUUUAAUUUUUUUGUUGAAAUUGGAAAAGAAAGUAAUUUUUUCUUAAUGUAAUAAUGAAUUUAAUAAAUAAAGU